AUACGGAGGGGACUAGCGUUGUUCGGAAUUACUGGGCGUAAAGCGUACGUAGGCGGAUCAGAAAGUAUGGGGUGAAAUCCCAGGGCUCAACCCUGGAACUGCCUCAUAAACUCCUGGUCUUGAGUUCGAGAGAGGUGAGUGGAAUUCCGAGUGUAGAGGUGAAAUUCGUAGAUAUUCGGAGGAACACCAGUGGCGAAGGCGGCUCACUGGCUCGAUACUGACGCUGAGGUACGAAAGUGUGGGGAGCAAACAGGAUUAGAUACCCCAGUAGUCC
rnacentral:rRNA from 1 species